GAUGAACGCUGGCGGCGUGCCUAACACAUGCAAGUCGAGCGGGAAAUACUGGAUUGAAGCUUCGGUAGAUUGAAAGUAUGGAGAGCGGCGGACGGGUGAGUAACGCGUAGGCAACCUGCCCUUUACACAGGGAUAGCCACUGGAAACGGUGAUUAAAACCUGAUGACACCGAGAUAUCACAUGUUAAUUCGGUCAAAGAUUUAUCGGUAAAGGAUGGGCCUGCGUCUGAUUAGAUAGUUGGUGAGGUAACGGCCCACCAAGUCAACGAUCAGUAGCCGACCUGAGAGGGUGAUCGGCCACAUUGGAACUGAGACACGGUCCAAACUCC
rnacentral:rRNA from 1 species